GCAGGAACUUGUGAGUCUCCUA
rnacentral:miRNA from 12 species